rnacentral:rRNA from 1 species
UACGGGAGGCAGCAGUGGGGAAUAUUGGUCAAUGGGGGCAACCCUGAACCAGCAACGCCGCGUGAAGGAAGAAGGCUUUCGGGUUGUAAACUUCUUUUGCCGGGGACGAAACAAAUGACGGUACCCGGCGAAUAAGCCACGGCUAACUACGUGCCAGCAGCCGCGGUAAU